rnacentral:tRNA from 1 species
GGUUCCAUAUUGUAGUGGUUAGUACAUCUGCUUUACACACAGAAGGUUCUGGGUUCGCACCCCAGUGGAGCCA